AAUCAACGCUGGCGGCGUGCCUAACACAUGCAAGUCGAACGAGAAAGGGGAGCAAUCCCUGAGUACAGUGGCGACCGGGUGAGUAACACGUGACUACCUACCCUUGAGUGGGGAUAACCUCGGGAAACCGAGGCUAAUACCGCAUAAUAUCGCAAGAUCAAAGGAGCAAUCCGCUCUUGGAGGGGGUCGCGGCUGAUUAGCUGGUUGGUAGGGUAAUGGCCUACCAAGGCGAAGANCGGUAUCCGGCCUGAGAGGGCGCACGGACACACUGGAACUGAAACACGGUCCAGACUCCUACGGGAGGCAGCAGUGGGGAAUUUUGCGCAAUGGGGGAAACCCUGAUCCAGCGAUGCCGCGUGUGUGAAGAAGGCCUGC
rnacentral:rRNA from 1 species